rnacentral:rRNA from 1 species
AACGAACGCUGGCGGCAGGCCUAACACAUGCAAGUCGAGCGCCCGCAAGGGGAGCGGCGGACGGGUGAGUAACGCGUGGGAACGUGCCUCUUGCUACGGAAUAGCCUCGGGAAACUGGGAGUAAUACCGUAUGUGCCCUACGGGGGAAAGAUUUAUCGGCAAGAGAUCGGCCCGCGUUGGAUUAGGUAGUUGGUGGGGUAAUGGCCUACCAAGCCGACGAUCCAUAGCUGGUUUGAGAGGAUGAUCAGCCACACUGGGACUGAGACACGGCCCAGACUCCUACGGGAGGCAGCAGUGGGGAAUCUUAGACAAUGGGCGCAAGCCUGAUCUAGCCAUGCCGCGUGAGCGAUGAAGGCCUUAGGGUUGUAAAGCUCUUUCAGUGGGGAAGAUAAUGACUGUACCCACAGAAGAAGCCCCGGCUAACUCCGUG